AACUGGGAUUAGAUACCCCACUAUGCUUAGCCCUAAACACAAAUAAUUACAGAAACAAAAUUAUUCGCCAGAGUACUACCGGCAACAGCCCGAAACUCAAAGGACUUGGCGGUGCUUUAUACCCUUCUAGAGGAGCCUGUUCUAUAAUCGAUAAACCCCGAUAAACCUCACCAAUCCUUGCUAAUACAGUCUAUAUACCGCCAUCUUCAGCAAACCCUAAAAAGGAACAAAAGUAAGCUCAAUCACAACACAUAAAGACGUUAGGUCAAGGUGUAACCCAUGGAAUGGGAAGAAAUGGGCUACAUUUUCUACCUUAAGAAAAUUAAUACGAAAGCCAUUAUGAAAUUAAUGACCAAAGGAGGAUUUAGUAGUAAACUAAGAAUAGAGUGCUUAGUUGAAUUAGGCCAUGAAGCACGCACACACCGCCCGUCACCCU
rnacentral:rRNA from 1 species